UUCAACUGACCAUUCAAUGAGCUGCUUGCACAUCGAUUACUGGAUAUUUACUGUAUGACCUCCCGUUUCCAGUCCAGUCCAGUUGUGAGAAAUUUUUAAGCUUUGAAAUAGAAUCUUCCAUUUUUGCUGAUAAAGCAAAAAUCAAACUAAGCUGCCAUGCACUCAUUUGUAGCUACCAUACUGGUGCUUGCCAUGGAUUUCCAUGGAUUUCAGAACAGCGUAACGGAUAUUGCAUCAUCGGUGAAUGCCGCUUGGGGGCCAUGUCUGUGGAGAAGAGCAACAGCAGAACAAGAAGAGAAGUGAGGCAGUGCCUCAGAGCCUCACCUGCGUCCCCUGACCACACGGCCCUGCUCUAAAAAAGUUAUACAAGUGGAAUAAAACACUUGUGUGUUGCUUCAGGCUGAACUGUAACUGAUUAUAGGAUAGACUAUGACAGCCGUUGCUGUUGAGUUUUAUUCCUAUUAGGACAGAUACAGUCGAGUGGCAAUUUAAUGUCAGAUGGAACAGUUUAGCAAUGUAUAGUGUCACGAUGAGUCAACAGAACAGCUUCAGUUCAUCUUGGAACAGACUUUACAGGAUUUUACUGGAACUGUACCGAAGGGAUGGACACUGUUCUUCCUAAAGAUAUUUCCUCAUGUGGUUUUGAUGAUAGCGCUGGUGAGAAGCACAAGCUAUCCUGUCGGUCCAAAAUAAUCAAAACAUAAUUUCCAUAAUGUUCAAACUCAUCGAACCAUUCGGUAAGCCCUCGUGCCCUUGUGAUUAGGGACGUUGUCAUCCUGGAAGAAGCCACUCCCAUCACGAUGGACAUGUUUCAUCAUGAGAUAAAGGCGAUCGGCGAUGUUAGUACCUUUGUAUUGAUUUGCAGUGACUUUUCUCUGUAAGAGGACAAGUCGAGUCAAAACAUUGCAGCAGAAUGACGUCAUAAUGCAUCAGAGCCACACACUUUUCUUUCAUUUGUUACAUGUCCAUGUAUCGUUUCUUUUUUUAGGUUAUAUAUUAUUCAUAAAUUAUUCCUGCCAUGCAUUCAAUCUCAGCUACAAUAUACAGUAUCAAGCAAUAGAGGUCUGCGAUUUAAGACCAAAUUAUGUUCAGUGACACUAAACAGAAGCCGGUUGUCGUGUGGAAAGGUCCUGCAGUGCUCCUGAAGAUGGAACACAUGGAGCCUGAGAUACAUGAGGUUAAUCCUCCAUCAGAACCCAUGGAGAUGACUUUGGACUGCAGUCGAUAUGAACAGUUUUACACUGGAGCCUCCAUCAGUGAUCAGUUCUUCAUCACUUCAACAAGACCGACUUCAUCUUCAAACUAAAAUGAGCUCCACUUUCUCAUCAUAUAGGGCACAGUUGUAGAAGGGAAAUGAUUUAUAAUCUCUCUCUCCAUCUGCUCUCACACACGACGAUGGAAGUUUCUUCCUCAUAUCAUCUCAGGAAGGUUUUCCUCACCAUCUUCACCUCUGACUUCCUCAUUUGAUAAAUCGAUCAAUUUAAAAUCUGCUUUGUAACAAUGUCCAUCGUUAAAAGAGAUAUUCAAAUAAAACUGAACUGAAUUAAACUCCUUUCCAAGUUAUAGUCUAAAGAGACACCAGCACACACGUUAGAGUCAACUGAUGCACGAGUAAAAGGUAUUGUGAUCAAGCUGCUCAACAUAAACCUGUACAAACAUCAUAUUCAGUGCAUUUAAUU